rnacentral:rRNA from 1 species
AUUGAACGCUGGCGGCAGGCUUAACACAUGCAAGUCGAGCGGGGUGAUGGUGCUUGCACUAUCACUUAGCGGCGGACGGGUGAGUAAUGCUUAGGAAUCUGCCUAUUAGUGGGGGACAACAUCUCGAAAGGGAUGCUAAUACCGCAUACGUCCUACGGGAGAAAGCAGGGGAUCACUUGUGACCUUGCGCUAAUAGAUGAGCCUAAGUCGGAUUAGCUAGUUGGUGGGGUAAAGGCCUACCAAGGCGACGAUCUGUAGCGGGUCUGAGAGGAUGAUCCGCCACACUGGGACUGAGGCACGGCCCAGACUCCUACGGGAGGCAGCAGUGGGGAAUAUUGGACAAUGGGGGGAACCCUGAUCCAGCCAUGCCGCGUGUGUGAAGAAGGCCUUAUGGUUGUAAAGCACUUUAAGCGAGAAGGAGGCUCUUUUGGUUAAUACCCAAGAUGAGUGGACGUUACUCGCAGAAUAAGCACCGGCUAACUCUGUGCCAGCCGCCGCGGUAA